rnacentral:rRNA from 1 species
AAUAGGCUAAUUAAGAGCGUAAGGGGAAUACCUUGGCUCUCAGAGGCGAUGAAGGACGUGAUAAGCUGCGAUAAGUUACGGGGAAUGGCACAAACAUUUUGAUCCGUAAAUUUCCGAAUGGGGCAACCCGGCAUAUUGAAGAUAUGUCACACUGUAAAGUGAGCAAACCUGGUGAACUGAAACAUCUAAGUAACCAGAGGAAUAGAAAACAAAAGUGAUUCCGCUAGUAGUGGCGAGCGAACGCGGAAUAGCCCAAACCUAAAUUGCUACGGCAAUUUAGGGGUUGUAGGACCUCAACAUUUAAUGCUAAUAGAACUAGAAUUUACUGGAAAGUAAACCAA